CUCAUUUUGUUGUUGAUUUGUUUGGUGAAACAGAUUGCUAUUAGUAAACUAUCAGCUAAAUAUGCUUUCAAUUGUAUUAAUCAAAUGGUUGACAAAAGAGAUGAUUAUUGAGAAAUAAUCAGAUCUUUUGUUUUCCCUUUUCUGAUUUAUGGUGAAACUUUUUCUUCUCCUUCUUGCUCUCGCUUUAUUUUUGUUUGUGUUUCGCCAUGUUAUGAGUUGGUGAUUUAUUGCAUUACUGGAAGACCUUUCAACAGUCAACAGUUUAACUGUCAACAAUUGUUACACAAAAGAGAUUCAGAGAUUGAACAUGAACAAGAAACUGACCCAAAAGAUUAACUUGGAAAGGGAAAGGUUGCCUCAAGUGGCUGAAUUAAGCUUUGCUAAGAGAGAAUCAAAAAACGCGCUUCACUUUGGUUGACAAGGAAAGAUUAAGUCGCCCCCUUUCUUCAUUAACAUAUGAUUUAUCAAAUGUCUUUGUUAGGUACUUUAUUAAUAAGUUUUAAUUAUAUCUAGUUUUUAAUUGGUUAAUUAGUCUGUAAUGAUUCUGUAACGAUAGUCAACGGUUAUUUAAUUGUAUUUAUUGUUUCUAAUGCCAUUUCUUAUGAUUUUAUUCAGCUACAGUUAACAUGCCAUUGGGUCUUUGGAUUGGCUUGGUCAACAUCUUGGCGUUCAAACUCAAUAUAACCAAUUGAAUGACUAGACAAAAGCAUAUGGAUUUAUUACAAGAGGAGAAAGGGCAAUAUUACAAUAUUUGAAUUGUUAAUAGUGGGAUUCUAUGUGCAUUGGUUUGGUCAAUAUCUCUGGGCUCUGAUUCGUUUUGGUGGAUGUUUCAUUCAACAUCAAGAGGAUAGUUUAUUGUUGAAGUGUUUCUGUGACAAUUAUGGAUUCAUGGUAUCUUCAAUUUUCACCAUUUCAGGAGAAGGAAAGACAAGUUGGAUGUUAUCUAGAUGGAAAUGUUGCUGAAUUUAUUUGCUGAUUUUGAGAAACUUUUUCUAUCCACCUGAGAAUAUGGCAAUGGAAUAUGACCAUUUAUAUUGAUAAGAAAUGGUUUGCUGGUGUCCAUAAAAAUUGAUAACUUUCCACCUUCUAUCAUUUCAUCCUGCUAAUCAGAAUAUGAGGAUUGUUUGCAGUUAUAAUAAAUACAUGUUUCUAUAUAAAUUUAUCUACAUAAAUAACUGAGUCAAUUCUGGAAAGCAUUAAACGUUCCCUGGAGCUCAAUUACUGGAUAUCAAGCAAGCUGGAAGAUGAGAGAGGAAAGGAAAAAAAGUUGUCAGUUGAAAAGUGAAAAAAUCAAACACUUAACAGCAACAUUUAAGGAAGAAACAACGAUAAAUGAAGAAGAAUGUGAAAAUUCAAAUAUUCAAAAGUUUCACUUUUUUCCACUUGCUGUUGCUACUUUUCCAGUUGCGAUGUUUCUCCUAAUACAAAUAAAUAAAUUUGUGAAUAGAUGAUGGUCAAAAUAUUCAUUGAUCUGCAAACAACUUGUAAAUGAUGGUAAGGAUGAGCGCUAUACAGCACCACCAACACCAACAACAAUAACAAUAAUGGCAACACAUAAGGUUACAUCAAUAAGGUUUAACAAUUGAUUGCACUGGAGACAGGGAAUAAAUAAAUUGUUGGAAAGGAGAAAAUAUUUUUCUCUUUCUCCUGAAAAUUCUUUCCAUUUUUUACCACUCACUUCGCCUGCCACAGUUUUUGCAAUACAAAUGAAUCCAGGAGCAGAAACAAGGAUGACUCGGGAUGAAGAUGAUGAGGAUGAUGAGGAGAUAAAUUUUUCACCAUUUUAAAGUCGACUGGAAAGACUGACUAAAACUGUUAUCAGUUAAAAUGCAGAAAUAAUAUAAUAAAGAGAAAGUUGAAAAGGCAAAGUAAAGGGGAAAUCUCACUCUCUCUCUUCAUCAUCAUCUUAAUGUGUAAUUUCAUCUUCUUCUUAUCAUCACACCAAUGUUUCAAUCCAAUGGAUAAAUGUCUUGGGUUGCAAAUAGUUGUCAGCAUCAUGUUUAAAUCCCUCGAGGACUAUUUUACUUGUCUCCAGUUUAUUUGUGUUUAUUAAAAAAAUUUCAUUCCUUUUCAUCCUUUACCUUUUUAAUAUUAAACUAGUUUCAUCAUGUUCA